rnacentral:rRNA from 1 species
AUUGAACGCUGGCGGCAUGCCUUACACAUGCAAGUCGAGCGGAUGAAGGGAGCUUGCUCUCUGAUUCAGCGGCGGACGGGUGAGUAAUGCCUAGGAAUCUGCCUGGUAGUGGGGGACAACGUUUCGAAAGGAACGCUAAUACCGCAUACGUCCUACGGGAGAAAGCAGGGGACCUUCGGGCCUUGCGCUAUCAGAUGAGCCUAGGUCGGAUUAGCUAGUUGGUGAGGUAAUGGCUCACCAAGGCGACGAUCCGUAACUGGUCUGAGAGGAUGAUCAGUCACACUGGAACUGAGACACGGUCCAGACUCCUACGGGAGGCAGCAGUGGGAAUAUUGGACAAUGGGCGAAAGCCUGAUCCAGCAAUGCCGCGUGAGUGAUGAAGGCCU